UUCAUUCUGCAGAGAGUGCUGAAGACCACUCAGCAGUGACAACAGAUGAGGUCACUUAUGGGCAAAUCAUCAUCAACAAGAAACAAGAAAAUUCAAAUAUGAGAGAAAGCGAUUCAGCUGCAGUCUACUCAGCAAAGAGAACAGAAGACAUCAGUUAUGGAGAAAUAGCCGUCACACCAAAGAGGACCAGAGACUUAAAACCAGAGCCAGGCGUCGUCUACUCUUCACUGAAGUAGUCCACCAGUCCAACCACUGACGUCCAGCUGCUGGUCUCUAACUGGUCCCCCCAGCACCUCAGACUAGAGGACAAUCAAAUGUUACAAAGAA